rnacentral:rRNA from 1 species
UACGUAGGGGGCAAGCGUUGUCCGGAUUUAUUGGGCGUAAAGAGCGUGUAGGCGGCCUUGCAAGUCCGUUGUGAAAACUCGAGGCUCAACCUCGAGACGCCGGUGGAAACUGCAAAGCUAGAGUCCGGAAGAGGAGAGUGGAAUUCCUGGUGUAGCGGUGAAAUGCGCAGAUAUCAGGAGGAACACCCGUGGCGAAAGCGGCUCUCUGGGACGGUACUGACGCUGAGACGCGAAGCGUGGGAGCAAAGCAGG